AUUGAACGCUGGCGGCAUGCCUUACACAUGCAAGUCGAACGGCAGCACGGGAGCAAUCCUGGUGGCGAGUGGCGAACGGGUGAGUAAUAUAUCGGAACGUGCCCGGUCGUGGGGAUAACGUAGCGAAAGCUACGCUAAUACCGCAUACGAUCUACGGAUGAAAGCGGGGGAUCGCAAGACCUCGCGCGAUUGGAGCGGCCGAUAUCAGAUUAGGUAGUUGGUGAGGUAAAGGCUCACCAAGCCGACGAUCUGUAGCUGGUCUGAGAGGACGACCAGCCACACUGGGACUGAGACACGGCCCAGACUCCUACGGGAGGCAGCAGUGGGGAAUUUUGGGACAAUGGGCGCAAGCCUGAUCCAGCAAUGCCGCGUGCAGGAUGAAGGCCUUCGG
rnacentral:rRNA from 1 species